rnacentral:tRNA from 1 species
GGGCGGUUAGCUCAGCUGGAAGAGCGAGCGGUUUACACCCGCUAGGUCGGCGGUUCGAACCCGUCACCGCCCA